CAGAUCAGAAGAAGAUUAUCCGAUCAAUGAAUACGAAAUUGGAUCUGCAGCAUCUGAUCGGAGUCGCAGGCGGUGGUUCGUGGUCCAUUAUAGAGAGAGUAAGAAGAGGGAUUCUUCCCAGGCGACUAGGGCAAAUUUUUCUCCGAAACUUACACGCGCCAAAUGACGAGUGCCAAGAUGGAAAGAAUGGGGCCCAUGUAAUUGGUGCGUAAAGUAGAGAGCGUGAUAGCGCGUUAGAAGGGAUUGAGUGGCAUAGAAAUAUAGGAGCAUCUGUUUAUAUAGUUCUGAUCGAGAAGUAGAGGAACAAGCCGCGUUUGAAGAAGAAUUCUUGAUUGCACUUACACAAUCUCUUUCCAUAUUUCUAUAUAAUGACUAAAUUGCCCUUUUCUAAAACAUUCCGUAAAUGGGUUGGGUUAUACCAGAUCCAUGGGCUGUGUAGAUCCUAUGGUUGUGGCCCAUUAAGCC
rnacentral:lncRNA from 1 species